AAGUCGUAACAAGGUCUCCGUUGGUGAACCAGCGGAGGGAUCAUUACCGAGUUUACAACUCCCAAACCCCUGUGAACAUACCUAUACGUUGCCUCGGCGGAUCAGCCCGCGCCCCGUAAAACGGGACGGCCCGCCCGAGGACCCCUAAACUCUGUUUUUAGUGGAACUUCUGAGUAAAACAAACAAAUAAAUCAAAACUUUCAACAACGGAUCUCUUGGUUCUGGCAUCGAUGAAGAACGCAGCAAAAUGCGAUAAGUAAUGUGAAUUGCAGAAUUCAGUGAAUCAUCGAAUCUUUGAACGCACAUUGCGCCCGCCAGUAUUCUGGCGGGCAUGCCUGUUCGAGCGUCAUUUCAACCCUCAAGCUCAGCUUGGUGUUGGGACUCGCGGUAACCCGCGUUCCCCAAAUCGAUUGGCGGUCACGUCGAGCUUCCAUAGCGUAGUAAUCAUACACCUCGUUACUGGUAAUCGUCGCGGCCACGCCGUAAAACCCCAACUUCUGAAUGUUGACCUCGGAUCAGGUAGGAAUACCCGCUGAACUUAA
rnacentral:rRNA from 1 species